CCAUUGCUCAGUUGGUAGAGCACAAGACUUUUAACCUUGUGGAUGUGGGUUCAAGCCCCAUGGUGGG
rnacentral:tRNA from 1 species